rnacentral:rRNA from 1 species
UACGUAGGGUGCAAGCGUUAAUCGGAAUUACUGGGCGUAAAGCGUGCGCAGGCGGUUCUGUAAGACAGAUGUGAAAUCCCCGGGCUCAACCUGGGAAUUGCAUUUGUGACUGCAGGACUAGAGUUCAUCAGAGGGGGGUGGAAUUCCAAGUGUAGCAGUGAAAUGCGUAGAUAUUUGGAAGAACACCAAUGGCGAAGGCAGCCCCCUGGGAUGCGACUGACGCUCAUGCACGAAAGCGUGGGGAGCAAACAGG